UCACCGUAUCAAGCCUGGCUUGUAGUUGGACCCCUUGUGUCACCCGGUGACAGGUCCAAAAGACAAUGACCGGUGUCAUACAGACUCUAUAUGCAACGAGCUUCUAACAGCACGCAUCUGGCAGUUGUAUGGCCUGGGUCUCGCCCCUUUAUUUUCUCAA
rnacentral:misc_RNA from 1 species